UACGUAGGCAGCGAGCGUUGUUCGGAAUUACUGGGCGUAAAGCGCACGUAGGCGGAUACUUAAGUUAGGGGUGAAAUCCCAGAGCUCAACUCUGGAACUGCCUCUAAUACUGGGUAUCUCGAGUUCGAGAGAGGUGAGUGGAAUUCCGAGUGUAGAGGUGAAAUUCGUAGAUAUUCGGAGGAACACCAGUGGCGAAGGCGGCUCACUGGCUCGAUACUGACGCUGAGGUGCGAAAGCGUGGGGAGCAAACAGG
rnacentral:rRNA from 1 species